rnacentral:rRNA from 1 species
GCAUAUCAAUAAGCGGAGGAAAAGAAACCAACAGGGAUUGCCCCAGUAACGGCGAGUGAAGCGGCAAGAGCUCAAAUUUGAAAGCUGGCUCCUUCGGGGUCCGCAUUGUAAUUUGCAGAGGAUGCUUCGGGAGCGGUCCCCAUCUAAGUGCCCUGGAACGGGACGUCAUAGAGGGUGAGAAUCCCGUAUGGGAUGGGGUGUCCGCGCCCGUGUGAAGCUCCUUCGACGAGUCGAGUUGUUUGGGAAUGCAGCUCUAAAUGGGUGGUAAAUUUCAUCUAAAGCUAAAUAUUGGCCGGAGACCGAUAGCGCACAAGUAGAGUGAUCGAAAGAUGAAAAGCACUUUGAAAAGAGAGUUAAAAAGCACGUGAAAUUGUUGAAAGGGAAGCGCUUGCGACCAGACUCGCUCGCGGGGUUCAGCCGGCAUUCGUGCCGGUGUAUUUCCCCGCGGGCGGGCCAGCGUCGGUUUGGGCGGUCGGUCAAAGGCCCUCGGAAGGUAACGCCCCUA